UGGGGAAUUUUGGACAAUGGGGGAAACCCUGAUCCAGCCAUCCCGCGUGUGCGAUGAAGGCCUUCGGGUUGUAAAGCACUUUUGGCAGGGAAGAAACGGCGUUGGUUAAUACCUGACGUCACUGACGGUACCUGCAGAAUAAGCACCGGCUAACUACGUGCCAGCAGCCGCGGUAAUACGUAGGGUGCAAGCGUUAAUCGGAAUUACUGGGCGUAAAGCGUGCGCAGGCGGUUUGGCAAGAAAGAUGUGAAAUCCCAGGGCUUAACCUUGGAACUGCAUUUUUAACUGCCAGGCUAGAGUAUGUCAGAGGGGGGUAGAAUUCCACGUGUAGCAGUGAAAUGCGUAGAUAUGUGGAGGAAUACCGAUGGCGAAGGCAGCCCCCUGGGAUAAUACUGACGCUCAUGCACGAAAGCGUGGGGAGCAAACAGG
rnacentral:rRNA from 1 species